rnacentral:lncRNA from 1 species
CCACCGCAGAAGCAGCACUGGCCGGCGCCUCCUGCAAUGAAGCACCAGGAGAUGGAUGUUCCUCGGGGAUGGACUCACUGACACUUGAUGAAGCCCCUCUAAUCUUAUGAUGAAAUGCUCAAGUCACAUAGAAAAAAGGAAAAGGAAAAAAAUGAUAGACAAUGAUCAAAAGCAAAAUAUUGCUGAGAUUUUUCUUCUUUGGUUUUUCAGGAUUUCAAGGGUGAGAAUUUGGAAAAAGGAAAGGAAUAAAAGUUGUCUGGGAGGGAAAAGUAGAGAGUCUAUAAGGGUUAUCAUUAGGAAUGAUGAUGAUUUAGGUACGAUUAGUGGUUGGUGGGGGGCGGGGAUUGGCCUUUUGGAAAAGCGCUUGUAAUAAUGUUAGAGAUGUUAACAAAAGAGAGUUGCCCUGCUUACAUCUCUUUGUUUCCUCUCUUCUACCAGUACCAUUUUAGCUUUAAAUAAUUUCCCCUUAUUUUUUGUAUGGUCAAGAAAAUGUUUGUUGUGAAACUAAAAAUUGUUCCUUGAAAUUUGCCCCUUUGUUUAUGCAGUAGUAUGUGUAUUGCCCUUGGAAUAUAAUCAUCAAAAUGUGACGUGAAAUAUCACAGUAUGGUGCAUACUUCUUUUAUAAGAUGAGCAUAUUUGUAUGAUAGAGGAUGUAGAAAUUGCAAGGAAGUUAGACGGCGAGAAUAGCGGUGGAAUCAGCCGUUUCGGGGGUGAGGAGUGAGGACUGUGGGAUUAGGUGUGGGCCGAGUCCGUGACUUGUUGGGUUGGCAUCAAACCCAGCUGCAAUUUUCCUUUGGCUUUUUCUUUGGUCCUCGUC